rnacentral:rRNA from 1 species
GUGGGGAAUAUUGCACAAUGGAGGAAACUCUGAUGCAGCGAUGCCGCGUGAGGGAAGAAGGUUUUAGGAUUGUAAACCUCUGUCUUUGGGGACGAAAAAUGACGGUACCCAAGGAGGAAGCUCCGGCUAACUACGUGCCAGCAGCCGCGGUAAUACGUAGGGAGCGAGCGUUGUCCGGAAUUACUGGGUGUAAAGGGAGCGUAGGCGGGAUCGCAAGUCAGAUGUGAAAACUAUGGGCUUAACCCAUAAACUGCAUUUGAAACUGUGGUUCUUGAGUGAAGUAGAGGUAAGCGGAAUUCCUAGUGUAGCGGUGAAAUGCGUAGAUAUUAGGAGGAACACCAGUGGCGAAGGCGGCUUACUGGACAGUAACUGACGUUGAGGCUCGAAAGCGUGGGGAGCAAACAGGAUUAGAUACCCGAGUAGUCC